rnacentral:rRNA from 1 species
AUUGAACGCUGGCGGCAGGCUUAACACAUGCAAGUCGAGCGGAGAUGAGGUGCUUGCACCUUAUCUUAGCGGCGGACGGGUGAGUAAUGCUUAGGAAUCUGCCUAUUAGUGGGGGACAACAUUCCGAAAGGAAUGCUAAUACCGCAUACGUCCUACGGGAGAAAGCAGGGGAUCUUCGGACCUUGCGCUAAUAGAUGAGCCUAAGUCGGAUUAGCUAGUUGGUGGGGUAAAGGCCUACCAAGGCGACGAUCUGUAGCGGGUCUGAGAGGAUGAUCCGCCAGACUGGGCCUGAGACACGGGCCAGACUCCUACGGGAGGCAGCAGUGGGGAAUAUUGGACAAUGGGGGAAACCCUGAUCCAGCCAUGCCGCGUGUGUGAAGAAGGCCUGAUGGUUGUAAAGCACUUUAAGCGAGGAGGAGGCUACUGAGACUAAUACUCUUGGAUAGUGGACGUUACUCGCAGAAUAAGCACCGGCUAACUCUGUGCCAGCAGCCGCCGCCG